UCCCGAACGCAAGAUCAAUCCUCUCCAUUCGACGGCUGGCUCAGUCGCUUUUAAUCAACCGAACAACCAAAGUCAACAGGUGAACGAGUGAAUGCGCGAGUUAGUUUAUAAGUGCCCGUAAUUUCACCGCUCGUGUCAUGUACGAGCAUCUCUCUUAGAAUAGAAGUGCUAUUUCGUAAAUUGAACUUAAUUCUUCAGUCACUUUUUCUCCACUUAUCCAAUGCAGGUAAUACAAGAGUUCCUUCAGUUAUCGUUUGUCAAUAGAAUUGCAACAAAGAAGAAAUGACAUCGCUUGUGAAAGACAAGUUAUUUCUUCGAGCGGUAAUCACCGUCCAUAAAACUGGCCCGCCGUACACCGCACUCCCGAGAUAAAAAUUUUACGGAUUUCUUGGUGGCAGAAAACGUUUGUCUGAGCGGGUUGGACCGGGUGGGCGUCAGGUACAUAUUAAGGAACAGCCAGGAACCAUCCGAAGAAGUCGACCCGCGGCGAAGCUCCCUUCUGCGGUUUUCAAACCGACCACCAGACAAUUCGGAUCUACAUAGGCGUGAAUGUCCUACACGUGGAUACAUGUGUAGUAGGGCGAACAGACAUAGGAAGAAUGAACUACGCAAUGCGGGCUUGCUUCUAAAAAUCUUACUACUACUAUAAUACUACGAGGCUAGUCAGUAGUUACAUAAUGUACGGCAAAAAAGGAUAUCCUCCUAUCAAAAUUACGAGGUACCAAAAAUCUCUUUUUGAGUUACUCGCUUGUCGACCAUCAUUGCCUGCAUGUGGGACGAAAUGAAAGAAUUGUAGUGAUUUGUAAAACCAUAAUUAUUUCAGUUCUAUGCUGGUAAUAAAUACUAAUA